rnacentral:lncRNA from 1 species
CAGAAGGCGAAGAGCCCUCCGCAUGAUCAUGAUUCCACCCCCGGAGGCUCCCUACCUUUGUUCCACUAGGAGACCCUCGAGACUCGCAGUCGAGAAGAUCUCCUGGAUCAAAAGCUCCAAGAGACGAACCGACGGAUCGAGGAGCUCAUCAGACGAGGUCGGCUCGAUAGAUUCAUCCAACAUCGACCUGAAGGUAGGUAGGAUAGGCUGAGGGCCCUACCACAGCCAGAGCCGCCAAAGAGGGAGGAAUAGCCUAA